rnacentral:lncRNA from 1 species
CCACUUACCUUAACCGCGCUAAUAACACCAAAAAUUCGAAACAUAACAAUAAGUACUACAGAUUAUGAACAAACUUGAAGGGGAAAACGAAAAGAGAAAAAAAAAACAAGUUGUAGAGAAGAAAGGAAAAAAAGGUCAAGAAGAUAGGAAAUUUUUUUGGGAAAAGAAAAGAAAAUAAAAUACAACAAUAAAAUCAAUUUACCCAAACUCCCCACUCCAUCCACUAACUACCCAAUCCCACUAAAUCCGACCACUAACCACAUCCAACUACCUCAGAAUCCCAACUCUAC